GCCUGGAUGGCUCAGUCGGUUGAGUGUCUGACUGUGGCUCAGAUCAUGAUUUCGUGGUUCGUGGGUUCGAGCCCCGCAUCGGGCU